AAUUGCAAAAUACAAAGACAUGUCUAAAUUAAGAGGUGUAGCCCUGAGUGUUUAUUGUCCCUUUAAAAGACACAUAAACAUUGCCCCUUUAAAUUUUGAUUUCAGUAACGGAGUUCUGAUGAUAAGAAUUACAGUGACAUUUGGUGAUAAUACUGUUGUGAUGUAUUUUUAGAAAAAGGGUUACCGUUGUGAAACUCAGCUUCACCAAUAGAGGGCACCCUAAGCUGUACACUCGGCUGAAGAUUGGCAGAGACAGAGACAUGUCACUUCCUCAAUCCUCAAUACAUAUAUUUAAGGAAAACCCGUAACGGCAAAGAUGGCGGUUGUGUGCACAUUUCCCGCCGCUCCCGCUGGAAAGCCAAUCAUAUGCUUUUAAAAGUCAAGCCGGGAAACAUUAAAGCAUAUCGUCUGGUUCCUCUGACGUAUUCGCACAGUUGAGGAACCCUUGCGCAUGCGUAGUAAAGAUAGGAGCUGGUCUUGUUAUUCUGAAAUAGCUGCCCGGAGGUGUUACCAAGAUGGCGGCCGAGUGGCACGACUUGCCUGAAAGGACUUUGGGAUUGGUCACUGACGCUAGUAGAGUGAAAGAGCGAUCAGUAUGUAAUGAGUGAGUUUGCACACGCUACAGAGAGUGUUGCCGAUCUAAACUGUCUUUCUCAUACUUUCAUACAGAAAUAACUGUGUUGCACAAAAGAAGAGCACUGCCUCAUCUUUGAAAACUGUAACAGAGGCAACAAAUCAAGUACAUUGAUUUGUGUUGCUUUUCAUGCUACAUGUACUAAAGCAGAAAAUAUGACAGGCUCCAAACCUUAAAAUGUAGAACCUACUGUUCCUAAAGAUGGAUUACUCAUAUCAAAAUUACUGUCUAUCAGUUUUUUUUAUGAAGUUCUUAGUAAACUAUGCUAGAAAAAUGUGAAAAAUCAGCUGAUACAUUUCCAUGAUUUUAUGGUAAAAACAAAAAUUUUAAGUGAGAUGUAUCCUAAAGAGGCCAUAUAACAUUGUUUAAUAUAUUGGUUUCUUUAAAUAUUGAUAUUUUAAUAGAUUGGUUAUUGGAUGUUAGGAAAGGGAUGUCCCUUUAAACCACAAUGGUUUCAUGCUGUCCUCAUAAACACUAUAUACCUGUGUGUGUGUGUGUGCGUGCGUGUGUGUGUUUUUAAUAAAUCAUGUUAUUGUUUGACUUCUCAGGAUUUUGUGAAGAAUAUUUGUGGUUCUGAACAUUUCUGGAUUGGUUUGACUGAUAUUGAAGUGGAGGGCAGAUGGAAAUGGGUUGAUGGCAGCACACUGACCUCUGGGUUCUGGGCGUCUGGAGAACCAAACAAUCAGGGAAACGAAGACUGUGCUAAUACACAUUCAUCAGGAUGCUUUGAUACUCCAUGUGAUA